UAACGCAUCAUUAAACUAAGUUUCAACAACGGAUCUCUUGGCUCUCGCAUCGAUGAAGAACGCAGCGAAAUGCGAUAAGUAAUGUGAAUUGCAGAAUUCAGUGAAUCAUCGAAUCUUUGAACGCACCUUGCGCUCCUUGGUAUUCCUUGGAGCAUGCCUGUUUGAGUAUCAUGAAAUUCUCAAAGUAAACCUUUUGUUAAUUCAAUUGGCCUUGCUUUGGAUUUGGAGGUCUUGCAGAUGUCACAGUCUGCUCCUCUUAAAUAAAUUAGCUGGAUCUCAGUAUACACUUGGUUCCACUCGGCGUGAUAAGUAUCACUCGCUGAGGACACUGUAAAAGGUGGCCAGGCAAUGCAAAUGAACCGCUUCUAAUAGUCCAUUCACUUGGACAAUUACAUUUAUGAUCUGAUCUCAAAUCAGGUAGGACUACCCGCUGAACUU
rnacentral:rRNA from 1 species